rnacentral:rRNA from 1 species
AGUCACUGACAUUAGAUACCCGGGUAGUCCAGGGUGUAAACGCUGCAGACUUGGUGUUGGAAGUCCUUUGGGGGCAUUCAGUGCCAGAGAGAAGUUGUUAAGUCUGCUACUUGGGGAGUACGUCCGCAAGGAUGAAACUUAAAGGAAUUGGCGGGGGAGCACCGCAACGGGAGGAGCGUGCGGUUUAAUUGGAUUCAACACCGUAAACUCACCAGGGAAGACUGUUACAUGAAAGCCGAGAUGAAGACUCUGCUAGAUUUUCAG